CUAAAAUCAUUUUUUAUAGUCUUCAGGCUUCUAUCAGUGACCACAUCACUGCCAGCCUUUUCUCACCUGGCACAUUAUGCUAGCUUCAGCCCUCCCAAGGUGUGAUUUUAGUCUCACAGCAAAGGGUUAAGGUCAAGCUCAAGAGAUUAAAAGUGAGCAGUGCCAGCUCCACCCCUGCUGGCUCAGCAGCCCACCCAUAAGCUACCAGAUGUCCUGUACUGGCCCAGUGCUUUUCCUGGCUUCAAAAAAGAUCUAAGAAGAGCUUUUUGGUCAGCUUUUUUGCUUUAGGUUCCUUAUCCAGUGCAGUCUUACCUUCCCUGAAGCUGGUCUCUGCAGCAAUGAAAUGUUUAUCAUGCUUCCUGUAUGUGUUGUAUCAAUUUUUUCAGCGAAACACCAGUAAAUAAAUGACUCAACUGAAGUUAAUAUCAGACCAUUUCUGGAGGUGUUUUUUUCACCUUAGCUCAGGUUCAGAAGAUCCUUUGAAGCAUGAAGAUUAAUAGACCUUUUGAAUAUGUUAUUUUGUAAGAAGCAUUAGGUGAAAAUGUAAGCUAUGUUUUCAAUCAAGGAAGAAAAAAACCCACAGUACCAAUUCUGUUUUUACUCAGAAAAGAGGAUAGAAAUGGAUUCAAUUAUCUAGUUUACAAAACUGACUAAAUUGAGGCACAGGCUCUGUUAGACUGACCAUAUCAUCCAGUUCUUGGAAUUCAUCAAGUGUAUUCUUGCAUCUGUCCAAUACAUUUUGACAGAGUACUGGAACAGCUGCCCAGGGGGGUUGUGGAUUCUCCUCUGGAGAUAGUGAAGACCUGCUUGGACACCUACCUGUGCAGCCUGCUGUAGGGGGCUUGCUUUGCAGGGGGGCUGGACUUGAUGAUCUCUGCAGGUCCAUUCCAGCCCCUACAAUUCUGUGAUUUGGUACUAAGAUAACCCCAGUGAACUGCUUACAAAUUAUCAUGUAGAAUACAGCAAUUUUGGCAAAAAAAUGAGAUGAAAUUAACAAAAUCAAAUAUGGCAAUUUUAAGUUGUUCUCUUACCCAGUGCUGGAGAUGUUUUUAUGAGACCAGAUAAUAAUAUUAUUCCACACUAUGAAAUCUAUUUAAAAUUCAUACAGUGGAUAUCUAUGUCUUGUGAUUCUUAUAUGUUUUGAUGAAUUACUGAUUAUUCUUUACAUAUCAUUUAGAGGCUAGUCUGCUCAUUAUUUUAUUUCUUUUUCUGAGCUUGAAAGUGUUACAUUUUAAUAAUAUUUGCAGUGUAAAUGACUACAAUAAGGAGAAAAUGACAAGACUGGAUGAACUUUGUCAUUGGAGUUAGUGGUUUCAGGUCUCAGACCGUUAGAAAUCUGGGAGAAUAAAAAUGGCGCACUUUGAUAUAAUUCAUCCACUUAAAAGUUUAAUGUCAAAAUACAUAUGAAAUAAAUAAAUUUCAGAAAUAAAGGUUUAGUAAAAUAAAA
ensembl:lncRNA